rnacentral:lncRNA from 1 species
AUUCAAUACACAGAUAUUCCUUACUAGGGAUAAGUAUUAAUUCCAAUGAUUUAAUAGGUUUUCUAAUGUUAAAUUGAAAACUAUAUGAAAAUAUUGCACAAGCCGUUGAGUAAAAAUUAUUUUCUAAGCAGAAUUAGCAUUUCUUAAUAAAUAUGUGUAAAACUCUGGUUUAGUCAUUUUUAAUUGGUAUUUUCCAACAAUUUCUUGAAUUUUUAAACGUCUACGAAUGUGCCCGGGUUGAAAACUGAAAAAUAUAAAUAUUCAGAUAGAUAGAUAAUUUGGAACAAAAGCACUUCACCAAGCCCUUCACAAAUUAAAUUGCUAGAACCAUUAUUCUAUUUAUUUUAAUUUUACUUAUAUUUAUUUACGGGCUCAGUACCCAAUAGAACAGUAAGUAAUACAAUAUUAGAAAUAAUACAUUAAUUAUGACAAUAUAACAUAAUCAUGGGAGUAGACAUGCAAAAAAUAGUAUUAUACAUUGGUAAGAUAAAAUAGAUAAUGGUAAUAAACAUAAAAUAAUAAUAAAAUUAAUUUAUGAAAAGCUUAGGAGAUUAUUACCUAAGCAUAUCAUACGUCUAUUCAUCAUUAUAGAAGUUACGUCAAAAAACUUUGAUUUUUUAAUUUUUUAAAAUACUAUUUUGUCAGUUUCUAUGUGCCAUGUCAUCAUUCUCAUUGCUCUUAUCAUUAAAUUCAUUUAAGUUUGGUUUGACAUUCAAAACAUCCGUGUUAUAUAAAUUCUCAGCCAAUUUAAAAACUAUGUUAAAGGAUCAAUUUUUUGAUUUGUUUUAAAAAAAAAUGUUUGGCGAGAUAUCCUGCUAUAAAAUCUUUUUUUCUGUAAUAUUGGGGAAGUGAAAAUUUGGUAUUGAUAUUUGGUAUUGGUAUGUUGAUUAGUAACAAGGGAAAAACAAAUGUAUUUUGUGUGUACUACGUGUGCAAAAUUACGUCGGGUAAGAAACAAGAAAAAAAAAAUUAAAAUGCGAGACUACAUUAUUAUGUUAUAUUUAUAAAAUCAUAAAAAAACAAACUUUGUAUCGAUAUAAAUUCUAACAUAUUUAUAAAUAAAAACUUUGAUCCUGCCAUCAUCUUUAGAGUCCAAAAACACAUUUACUGAGGAAAAAAUGUUUUUAAAAUUCAAAGUUUUUGAUGUUUUUUAACAUAACUUCUUUAAUAAUGGUUUCGGCAAAAAAAUUCAAACCGUUUCAAAAACAGCAAUGAAAAACUCGUCUUAAAAAAAAAAAAUUGAAAUUCGUAAGAGGCCUGGUAAAGUGCAUUUUAGCCAGAUGAUUUGAUAUUAUUUUUAAAUUAAAUUCCAGCUCUUUUAUUAUACAUAAUUACAUUAAUAGGUAUAACUUGAAUUUAAAUUUAAUUUAUAGGUAUAGUAUUUAUAGUAUAAUAUAAUGCUCAGGCUGGGUUACACAAACAUUCUGUACAAAUAUUUUAUAGACGCGCUGGAGAAAAACGCUUUAAAUUUCUUGAACAAAGAAAGUUAAAAAUGGAGAAGUAUACAUAAAAAUGAACGAACGAAAAACAAUAUAAAAAAUGAUUUGAGAAAAGAGGAAAAAAUGGAUUGGACAUGUAGGUAAUAAGAAACAAUGAAUGGAUAACGAUAAUAAUAGAAAGAAAAGCUGGAAGAGGUAGACCAAGAGCACCAUUUAUGAAACAGAUUACAGAAGGCAUAGUAAAAAUCAAUUACAAAGAACUAAAACUAGCUGUGAUGGAUAGGGAAGAGUGAAGGUCCAUCGAAGUAAUGCAAAAAGGAUUGUAAAAAUAAAAAAGAAAAGACUCCUUGAUAUAACAAACGCCUGUAUAUUGUAAUGGCUCUGUAAUAUGUAAUAGUGUUGCAUAAACAAAUUUAUAAUGAAUCUGUAAAUUAAAAUAUAAUGAUAACAAUGGUAACCGGAUAAACCAAAAUAUUUAUAUUUGAUAACCCUGAACCACGGUUAUCUUCAUAGAGUAAUAUAGAGAGACCAUUGACAAAAAAAGUGAGACGCAAAAUGACUGUAUUUACAGGUCGACCAGUAAAAGGCAACAAAAUAUUGUUUAAUCAUUAAAGGAUAAUAUGUAUAUAUUAUACAAUGAUAUAUACCUAUAUAUUUUUUAAUAAUUAUUAAAUUUCAAAAAAAAUAAUAGAUAAAGCUCAACAAUUAUUGCUUAUAAAGUAUAAUUAUGUUAUAUUAUUAUUAAUAUAGGAUUAAAGAUACCUAUAUAUUUUGGAUAUUUUGACCUAGAUUCAAAAAAUCAGUUAAUCAUAUAAAAUUAAUCCAUCCGAAUUUAAUCUUAAAACAUAUCUACAGAAAAAAUAAUCUCAUGAUUCAACAAAGUGUACAAUAUGGAAAUACAUAUAACUCUAGUGUAACUGUUAUUGUAUGUCUUAUUACAGAAUGAACAUUUUUCUUAUUUAAUAAUAAUAAUAAUAAUAAUUAAUAGUAAUAAUAAUUAUAAUAAUGAUCAAAAACAAAACACAUAUUUUAUAAACUUGUUUUUCCCUCUAAUUUAUCCAUUGAUGACAUUUUACAAUAAUUUCCAAAUGAUUUAGUAGUUACACUGUAUUUAUAUUCCUUUCUGGUCUUCAAUAUUUUAUAUUGGCGUAAUGCGUAUGCCUCUUUAUAUUACUCUAUGAUUAUCUUACUCGAGUAGAUAAUCGAGGGGUAGUAUACACUAUAUAGCCACUGGAGUACCUGUAAUAAUCUGGAAUGUACAAACCUUGAAUGUGUAAAUCUAGAAAUUACAAUUUUUGAAUCCAGGGUUUUACAGUCAUAGAAAUCUGAAUAUUUGAGUUGUCAAGAGACCUUUUAUGUUCCUUAGAAUACUUAGCCACUGACAGUGAAAGUCAUUUUUUGAUACUCAAUGUAAUUUUAAUUUUAAAAUAAAUUAAAAACGUACAUAAUCGGUAAGGUUAGGUUAGGUUUAAGAAAAACCGUGCGCUUUUUGUCUCAUUUUAAAAACAGGCAGCCUUAAGAGUUUGGUCUCCGUAUCUCUAAUCUUCAUGAUCACAGAUAUCUAUUUGUGUAUAGUUUUUAAAAAAAUUUAUAAGAAAUCGGAGCCAUAUCGGUCUGCAUGAACGUUAAAAAAAGAAAGUUGAAAGAAAAAUGUAGUUAAAUCAAUUAUGUGAAAAAAAAUAUUAUUUCAUACUAUGUAUGUAUCAUGAUAAGUGAUAACCAUUAACCGGUCUUGUGCAAAACCACAUCGGGUAAAUAGCAAGAAAAAUUGAAAAAGCAUUAUAGGUGGAACUAGAGACCCAAGGUGGUCACUCGCUCGCUGCACUCAUUCAGACAAUUUUAAUUGAAAAUAACCCUCGAUUUGUUGUGUAAAACCUCGUCGAGUAGGUGACAAGGAAAAAUGAAAAUUGAAAAUCAAUAAAGCAUUAUAGGUGGAAGUACCUUUAAUUAGUAUAACACUAUAACUUAUUAAUAUAUAGUCGUAUUGGUAUUAGGCACUUAUCGGGUAUCGCGAAAAUAUUGUGACUGGCCUCUUAGAAUUUUUCUGAAAAGUUUAACUCUCUGAUAACCGAGACCUGAACAAUAAUAAGCAAUAAAAUUGCGGCAUCUUUAGGCUAAAAAUAAAAUUGUGUGCGAAGUUUGUUUCACACUCGUUAACGGUUGCACAGAAAAAACGCUGGGUGGAAGCUUCAAGUAAUUUUACUCAAUGAGCAGAUAGUUAUGACAAUUUGGCUACAAAAUCAAUUACUGUUAUCAACCACUCACAGUACUCGCCAGAUCUGGCCCCAGCCGACUAUUUUCUAUUUCAUAAGCUAAAACCUGCCAUGAAAGGAGAGCAUUUUGACGAUUUGGAGGCUAUCCAAAAAAUGUGACAAGACUAUAUUCUGAAGCAUUAAAGAAAACGAUUUCUCCAGAGCCUUACAGCAACUGUACAAGCGUUUAACUAUUUGUAUAGAUAGGACAGGAUAUUAUGUUGAAAAUUAAAUAAAAUUGUUUGCUUUAAACUCGUUUGUUGUAUUUUUUUAAAAUCAGUUUCGGAACUUUUUGAAUAGACUGUGUAUAAAUUCAAAAAAGAAAACGAUCAGAAAUGUUGGCAAUAACAACAUUGAUAAAAUGAUAACGUCGAUGUGUAAAUUGUUUUGCAAGGAGUUACAGAUACGAAUUGAAUUCUGUAAAUUAUAGUUAGUUGCAAAUCUAUAAAUAAUACAAAGUCUAACUAUAAGUGCGCUAAUGGUUCUGUAUGUCCUUACAGAACGACGCUUGUGCAACCCGGCCUCAAUAUCGUGUUAUUAUUGUAUAAUUUUAUGAAAUUUUAAAAAAAUAUGUUUAUAUUUAAAUGGAAAUUAUUUACCUGUCAUUUUCUAAUCUUUUACGCCUACAUAUAUUUAAAGCAGUUUGCCUGACCAUUGUGCCAACUACUUGUUUACUAAUAACCAUACCAUCAACCAAUGGAGUGGCAAGGUUAGUCCUAAAAUAAAAAAAACAACUAUUAGUUAUCAAUAGUGUGACCAAGUUAAUCUAUUUAGUGGUGUGACCAAACAUACUAAUUUAGGCGUAAAAGUACCGACUUUUUAAUGGGUGCUCUGUUUAAAUUUUUAAAUAUAGUCGGGAGAUCAAUUUCAUGUAUCGAUUAGAUAAGAAAAUCGGUAUAAAAAAUGCCUCACUUUUGUAAUUUUAUAUUCCGCAUUGCAAGGUGAUCCAUUUAAGUGGGUACACUCUUUAUUUCGGAAAAUAUUAACUUUUUCGGGAAUUUGUUUUCUAGAACAUUUAAGAAACAAACUGCUCAAAAAUUUUAUACACUUUUUAUUAUUUUUGUCACCGUUAUUUUUAGGGGUAAACCCACUAAUUUUAGUUUUAACAUUUCAGAUUCUGAGUGGAACGAAGAAACUUAUGAUUUUACAAAAAUGUUUAUUUAUUAUUAUUAUUUUUUAUCUGUAAAGCACUUUUAUACCAGAAGACUUGCUCGAAUUUUUAAGCGUAGCACCUUUUCUGAAAGAAAAAUGGUGUUGGGAGGUCCUUUUUUGAUUUUCUCUAGAGUUUUCCCAGCAAAUGUGAAAAACCGGGAUAAUAUUGGAAAAUCGGAAAAACGUAGGAAAACUGGGAAAAUCGAUACAACAUUAAACUAAUAUCAUUAAAGAAAUAAUACAAAAUAAUAAACCAAUAACAUAAUAGUUGUAUAUUUGCUGAUUCUUUGUACAGAUAUUCAUGCCUUCAUUUUUAAAAUGGUAUUGACAUAUACUAGAGUUUUCUCCUAAUGUAAUACCUAAAGCUUUCCCCCAUUCAACCUUUAAAGGAAUUUUCUUUGGUACACAAAACGUACUGGCUUUUAAACCUUUAUAAGAUCAGACAGAUAAACAACACGACAUGAUUUUUUACGUAAAACACUAUGAAAAUAAUAAUUACAUUUAGAUUUGCAUAUGGUUGAAUCUUUAUAGUCGUGAUCGAAAUGGUUGUGCUUUUAAAUUAGGUGGGAAUAUGAUAAUUUCACAUAAUAUUGUAAUAUAGCAUUAUUUUCAUGGACAGAGAGCACACUAAGUUAGUUAAGCAGCUGUUCCAGAGAGCAAUUUCAAUAGCCAUGUGAUAACGCUUAAACAGCCAGUUGGGCAACCAGUAUAUUAUUUUUAAUCGUGUUAUUGAGCCGUGGUAAACAUAUUUCUGAGCGCGGUCCACUAUUUUUAUUUUUUUUUAUAGUUAUUUUGUCUAUGUCCCGCGCCGUACCAUUAUACAAAUGAUAAUCCACUACUCUCCUCCAGGCCAUACUUAAAAGUGUAAUAUCUCAUCAACGAACUGACAGAAAUCAAAAAUGUUGACACUCAAAUUUAUUUUAACUAAUAUUCUAUCUAUUUAUGAACUUUUUAAUAUAAGUUGCUAUUUGAAAAUCAAAUGUGGAUAGUACUUUCACAACCAAAAAUAAGGGUGACAAAAAAUAACAUAAAUAUAAAAUUGUAGAACUGCUUGUUUCUUGGAUGUUCUAGAAAACAAAUUCCGACAAAAGUUAAUACUUUUCGAGAUAACACACUUAAAUGGAUCACUUAUAUUAACAAAAAAUAAAAACGUUCAAUAUUAUAUUAAUAGAUACCCGCAUUUAUUGCACUGUAAAAGUGCACUCAACUGUUAUCAGUUAUCAUUUUCAUAUUUUUCAAUUGCAAUUUAAAGAUUUAAACAAUUAUUUAUUUUAUUAGUAACAUUUUAUGGAGAGACAGAAGACUGUUCUAAUGAAGUUAAAUAGUUACUUUCAGAUCUCAAAUCAGUUUUUGUAUAAUUAAAUUGUACAAGAAAAAAGUAAAUAAGCCAAAAAAAUAAAGUCCCACCCAAAGUUUUUGACUAACGCAACACAAUAGUGCCAAAAAUGAAAAUCAAUGAAAUAUACACUUUUUCUAUAAAAUUAAUGAAAUAAGCAAAGUUAAUUUUAAAUGUUCGAUUUUUAAACUCUUCAUUUUAUAGAAAGAAUUUAUAGCUUGGUCUGCUAUAAAUCCAGUGCAUACACAAAAAUAAUCAACUUGUUUAACUUCUGAGCCCUAAUUAUCAAUGUCGGUUAACACAACUCAAAUUUUAACAAUUUUAUAUAUAUAUAUAUAUAUAUAUAUAUACCUUAAAAAUUGUAAAUUAAAACAUUACACUAGAAGUUUUAAUAAUAAGUAUACAGGUAUAAUAUAUUUGGGUAGUUAAAAACAAUAUUUUUUUUUUUUUGCGGGCGUAUGUUUAUAUUUAAUUUCUACAGGUAUGACUACCAUCAAAUCUAAUUAAAUCAAAAAUAAAAAUUUCCAGUUGUUGAUCAGCGAUUUUAGAUAAAUAACUCAAUUUGUAUGUAUUUUUUUUUUUUACGCUUUAAAAUAUAGUUAACUAAAAAUAGCAUGAGGUUAAAUGAUCAGAAUUUAAUAAAAGGAACAAAUAUGGUUCUAUUAGUUGAUAAGAAAAAAAUAAAAAACUGACAAAGUUAUUAGCCAUGAAACGCAAAUGAUUACAAAAUGUUAGUAAAUUAACAGCAAGAACUACCCCAGAAAAUGUUUUUUAUUUGUUGAAAAAUUAAAAUGUAUUCAAUUUUGAUCAUUUUACCUCAUGCUAUUUUUUAGUUAACUAUAAUUUAAAGCGUGAAAAAAAAAUACAUAUAAAUUGAAUUAUUUAUCUAAAAUUGCUGCUCGCCAACUGGAAUUUUUUUUUUUUCACAAAAUUAGAUUUGAUGGUAAAGUCAUAUCUGUAGAAAUUAAAUAUAAACAUACGCCUGCAAAAAAAAAUAUUUAGGUACACCUAAAUAUAUAUGUAUACACAGGGUUACUUAACCCCGAUAACAAGAUAUUCUACUGUUAAGUUUUUAAAAUGAAAGUCUAUAUUAAAAAUUAUAUAAAUAGAUAAUAGUAUUAAUUUAAAUAAAUUUAAGUGUCAACAUUUUUGAUUUCCGCCAACUCGUUAAUGAAAUAUUCUACUUUCAAAUUUAGGCAGGAGGAGAGUAGUGGAGUACUAAUAACCGCUCUGUUCCGCUACACAAAUGAUACUCCACUAAUCCCCUCUUACCUAAACUUGAAGGUAGAAUAGUUUAGAAUAGAAUUUGUUUACAGAAAUCAAAAAUGUUGACACUCAAAUUUAUUUAAAUUAAUACUUUUAAAAACAAGUUACUCCUUAAAUGUUGAGAAAAAUCUAAGUAUUUGAAAAUACCGCCUAAACUACUAUACUUACCAAAAUACAGAAUUUGAGUAUAAUAUGCAUAGUUUAAUUAAAAAAAAUGGGAUGAGCACGCUUAGUGAGUCACCUUGUAUAGUGUGUAUAUAUAUAAAUAAAAUUAUUAGCAUAAUAACAAAUAAAAACAAUUUAUCUUAUAAUAAUUAUAAUAUAUAAAUAUACCUUCCAAUAGGGCCUUGCAUUUUCACUCUAAGUAAUCCAUUUUGCAGUGCAUGUAAGUAUAUAAUAUGCACAUCAGCAAUAUCUUUUACAUAUGAUAAAGGUUCAACACCAGUAUUUGUAUAAGAAAGAAGAUUUGCUAAAAAAAGAAAAAAGAAUAAUUAAAUUAUUUUUGUAAAGCUCCAACCAUUUUAUUUUUUUUUCACAGAGUAUCCUACGAAGAUAUACUAUUACAACAUCUCUGGAAAUAAAAAGAUAAUCAAAUUACUUUUUUUAUAUCACUUACAAGUAUAAGGACUAUAAAUAAUUAUAUUUCAAUUUUUUUUUUUCUGUGAACAACAUUCCCAUUAAAGAUUUGGCUCGAAUUUUUAAAAAUAACACUUUUUCUGAAAGGAAAUUGAUGUGGGGAGGUACUUUAAAAAGGUCAUUAUUCGAUUUUUCCAAGAGUUUUUCGGCAAAUGUGAAAAACUAGGAAAAUCAGUACAAUGUUAAACAAAUAUUAUUAAAAAAAAUAUUAUAUAAUGCAAAUGUUAUUAUUUUACCAUAAUAUGACAUAUAUUGUUGACAAAGAACUAUCUACUAAACGCCGCUCAGAAUCGUUUUUUUGGUAACAAUGGUUAAUUAUUGCUUUCAUAUAUACAUUAAAUUCUCUUUUGUAUCCUACCUUUGAAACUUCCUACCUACAACAGUGGCUGCACCUGCAUUAUCCUAAGACAGCUUUUUUAGUUUUUUUUUUUUUUUUAAUACAAAAACAUAAUAAUUUAAUUCAAAUAUAAUUAUUUGUAGUCCUAAUUCCUGUGAGUAAUAAAAAAAAUAAAAAAAUAAAAUUAUCGUUAUCAUCACAGGAGAUAUGCAAUGUAUACCUAUAUCUCCAUGAGAUAAUUGAUUAAUAUUCAUUGUUAUUUUAUUACAUUGUCAUUAAUAAACAUCUUAAAGGUUUGAAAUAUUUCAGACUUAAUACGCACAUUGAUUUCUAAACCUAACGCACAAGAUUCAGUAAAAAAAAAAAAAAAAAUACUUAUUUUUUCUAUUUUAAUAUUAAAAUUUAUAAUUAUAAAUAAUAUGGCUUACCAAUUGGAAAGUGUAUAUGAUCUUCAAAGCUUUCUAGCCAAACUAACAUGACAGUGGCUGACACAAAUUGUGGACGCCUUUUAGGUGGUUCAAUAUGUUGAUAAGUUGGUUUUCCUUUAUAAUCAAAUUCAACAGAUAAAGCUCUCGUAGUAACUGGUUUUGAAUACCUAAUAGAUCCAUGUUGUGAAGUGUCACCUAUUCAACAUUAAAUUAAAUUUUAAAAACCUUUGCUCUUUUUCUUUGCCUUUGAAUCAAAUAUUUGGUGCCGUCCACUCUCUUUCUAAACUUCCACCUUACCCAAUUAUCCACCUUGCAUACUUUGGAUGUCCUUAAAUCAUUCUCAAUUGCAUCCCCCCACAUCUUUUUCUGUUUUCUUCUUCACCUAACAAAACCUUUUUUCUCAUAUGUUUUCCUCCUCAUUUUAAAAAUCUUUGCAAUUAUUUAAUUGUGUAUUGUAUAUAAAUAUAACUUCAAACUUAUGUGAUUUACCAUGUUCUUUAAAAUUGGUAGGAACGACAAAAGCUAUUUCAGAACUCACAUCUGACCAGUAUAUCACAUGAGUUUCUCCAUUAUACAAACUUCCGCCAUGAGAAGUAUCAAACUUUUGUUCUUUAGAAUGUUCAUAGUUUGGGAGGUUCCAACUUGUUUCUACACGACCUGUCCACCCAGGAUGUUCGCUAAUAUUAACGGGCCAACCAAGAUUAGUUAACAUUUCUAAAAAGCUUGGAGAAACUGCUGUGUUGGAAGUCUAAAAAGAUUCAUUAACCAAAAUUGUUGUUUGGUAUGCACUCAUUUUUAUAAUACAUACCACAUUAUUUAGUAUGUCCUUAAAAUCUUUUUGACCAUCUUUAACAUAAAAUACAUGGCACGUAUCACAAGUACGCGAUGGAGUAUUAUCAAGUAUUUCAAGGUCUUUACAAAAAUGUUCUUGAUGAACAUUCAAAGCAACUAAUGAAGGAACUGAUGAUGGCUAAAAAUAUAAACAUUGUUAUUCAUAACUAAAUAAUUUAUAUUAGUGUUAUUUAAAUUACGAUUAUGAUUAGUGGUGUAAGAAUAUUUAACUAUUAUUGUUUUGUGUGAAGUAUGAACAAUUGUAAUAUACUUACACUGGUAUCAUCAAGUCUGGAUAAAAAUCCAAAAUGUGAUAAAAAUAAUCUAGCUGUAUUGAAAUCUGUACAUGGUUGAGGUGGCAACAUUUCUAUGGCUUUAGGUGGAGGAUCUGGACAAAAACUUUCCAUUUCCUUCUGCUUUUCAAUCAAAUCUGAUAAUACGCUAUGCUCUUCAUCAUCAAAUACUAAACUAUCUAAACUUGGUAUAGAUUUAUCUCUGUAAAAUUGUAUUUAUUUUUUCAUAAUAAUAAUAAUAAUAAUAAUUAAAUUAUUGAAAAAUAAUUAUAAUAAAUUAAAUACAUUUUGCAAGUGGGUACUCGUUCAAUGCUAUCUGAAAAAUGUGUAGUGGACUUUCGGGAAUAUCUAUGUCUACCCGGUUCUUCCAUUGCUACAGGACGGCCAGGAAAAAUAUUAUACUGUUUGGUUGAUGAAGAUCGAUGUCGUGGUAAAUGUCUUAGUUGUAAAGUCCAAGCUUGCCGUCCAAACGAUCCUCUAAUUAGUACAGUUAAAGUUGGCUGGGCAUCUAAACAUAAGAAUUUCAGUAAUAUAUGCUAAAACAGUUCAUAUAAUUACUAAAAAUAAAGAGUAUUUCCACCUUGGUUAUUUCCCAGAGGCUCUUCAAAAAGGGCUAAAAUUAUGGAAUUUUCUAAUACAAAGUAUCGAAAUUUGGAUAUGGCAUGCGAUUUAUUUAGCAUGUUUUCAGUAGCUAUUGAAUUACAGUGUUUAAUUAAUGUUAUUUCAUCCAAUAAACACGAUAAACUUUCUGCACCACAAAUGGAUGGAAAAUACCCGACCUAAAAUUUAAUCUUAUCAUGAGAAAUCCUAAAAAAUUACUAAAAACAAAUUAUUAUUCUUCUUACUUGUUCUAAUAUAAUAGUUAGUAAUGAUUCAGCGGCAUCUCUUACUCUCAUUGAAGCAGGUUUAAGUUCUUUUUCGUCCUUCAUUUUUAUUGGUUCUUGAAGUUUUCCCUGUAUAAACAUACAUAAUUAUUUUUUUAUAGGUAUCACACUAGAAAUUCUUAUAUAAUACAAAAAUUAUUUAUUUACAAUCGAUUUAGUGCCAGAUAUACCAAGUUCAACCACUUCAAUAAUUGUAUUCAAACAAUCUUUAUCAUCUAGUAAGUAAGGAUGAGCCACAAGCCAAACUACAGUACAUUGAUAUGCAGCAACAAUAGUGGAAUGUAAAUCUCGUGAAUGAGCUGGAGGAGGACGCCAACAUUGGUAAGUUAUAUAAUCACAUAACCAUUUUACCGCUCGUUUACAUUCUAAUGAAUCUAAACAAAUUAUUACAAUAUGUAAUAAUGCAUUUCAGUUAAAUUAAAAUUGAAAUGAAAAAAUCAAUUCUUUUACUAACAAAAUAUAACAUAAAUUACCAGUUAAUUUUUUUGCUGCAUGAAACAUUAAUUAAUAAUUUAUUAAACUAAAAAUAAUAAGAUCAACAAUAAAUAUGAUUAGGUAAUUAAUUUGAUUGUAAUGAUUUUUUAAAUGCUAGAUUUAUGUAUAAUAUGAAAAAAAUACAUAAAUGUAUAAUAAUAUUCAGUGUUAUAGAAGUAAUCCAGAACUAAGUGAAUGAUGAAUAUAUAUAUAUAUAUAUAUUUGAUAAAAAGUAUAAUUUACAAUUUUUAAACAGAGUUCAAAUUUUUGAAAUCAAUAAAAAAUAAAAAAUAAUAGACUAAUUUCAGUGUUAUAUUUUAAAAUGUAAGUAACUUUAUCUAAUAAUAUUCACUGCCUAGUUUUAUUUUAUUAAGUACUAUAAUAAUAUUUUGAUUAAAUAUUCAAAAAUGAUCAUUAAUAUUAUUGAAAAGAUAGAUUAGAUAGAUUUUGCGAAAGAUAUUUCGCAAAAUGAGUAGGCCACUGUUGAAGAUGAGAAGUUGGGAAGGUAGAGGGGAAAUUUAAUGUAUACCUGUACACAACAAUUAACCAUUGCUCGUGAAAAACAAUUCUAAGCGUUGUUCGGUUAAUAGUGUUACUUUGUCAAUAAUAUAUAUGUCAUAACAUGGUACAAUAACUACAUUUGCAUUAUAUAUUUUCUUUAAUAUUUAUUUAAUAUUGUACCUAUUUUCCCAUUUUUCCCCUUUUACUAUGAAAAACAUCCGAGAAAAUAAAAAAAUUACCUCCCUAAAGUACCAUCCCAGUCAAAUUACUUUUCAGAAAAAGUGCUAUAAUUGAAAAUUGGAAAAAAAUUGUACAUAGAAAAAAAAUAAACACCUUGUAAAAACUUUAUAUAAUAAUGAAAUAGUUUGAUUUGCAUAGAGAAUAGAAAAUCCUUAAAUAAUAAUAAUAUUUAAUGUAUAUAAAUGUAUUUAUUUAGUAGAUACAGUUUUUAAAUAAACAAAGCAUUAUUACCCGUUUCUUUUAUAUGAACUCUAGCUAAACCUAUAAGUAAUUCCAAAGCUGCUAAUGAAAUGUUCAAAUCUGAUUUCCAUGAAGAAUUUAGUCUGUGACAUACUAAAUAUGUAGCUCUGACAUAUAAUGCGUGUGCAGAAUCUAAAAAAUGAUCAUAACAUAUUAAGUCAUAUUUACAUAUUAUUAUAAACAUAUUUAGUCGUUUAUAAUAAUUACAGUUAUAUUAAUACAAAAAUAAAUAAAACAUUUCUUAUCACUAUAGCAAAAAUAAAAUAUCAAUAGAUAUCUAUUAUUUAUAAUAUAAUAAUAGCUACUAUAAUAUGCCUUGUCGCCAAUCCUUUUUAAUUUAAUAUUAGAGAAGGUGAUCCGAGAUAUUGGAAGAGAUGAAGGAGUAAUAAUAAAUAGAACUUGCUUUAGCCUGCUCGCCUGUGGACGAUACAGUUUUGCUAGGAAAAAAGAAACAAAAGGUGGUAGAGUUGUAUAACAGGUUAAUAGAAACAGCGAAAAAGGUGAGGCUAGAUCUCAACACGGAUAAAACGCAAUAAAUGAGUUAGUAGGGAACUAAGUAACGCCCUUGUAAUUAAAUCCAUAACUGUGUAUUAGUACGAUUUCAAAAAAGUUGAGGAAUUCAAAUACCUAGGCACUAUUGUAACACACAGAAGAAUGAAUGUCUAAUAGAAAUUCAACUAAGAAUUAAAAUGGGAACUAAAUGCUUCUAUGCACUAGGCAAACUAUUAAGCUCAAUAAUCAUUUCAUAAGAGGUUAAAACUCAGUUAUAUCUGACAAUCAUACAACUAAUAAUCAUGUAUGGUUCACAAUAUUGGACUUUGCGAAGGACGGAGGAGAAUAGAUUACAUAUUUUUGAGAGGAAGGUACUGCGCAAAAUAUACAGACCUAUAUAUGAUCAAGAUUUUCAAGGAUGGAAAAGGCACAACCGAGAACUGAUGGAGAUUUUCAAUAGACCAAGUAUUGUAAGCGAGAUCAAACAGAGUAAGUUGGAAUGGGCAAGCCAUGUAUAUAGAAAGCAAGAUUCAAUGGUUUAAAGAGUGCUCCAAGAAAACCCAAGGAGCCAAGGAGCAAAAGGCCACUGGGUAGACCAAGGCUACGCUGGGAAGAUGGAAAUAAAAAAUAUUUUGUAAAUGCUAGAAGAGUAGAUAUGGAGGUAUGGAUUAGAAGGAGGUAGCAGAAAAUAGAAUAGAAUAGGGGAAGAUUUGUUCUACAGCAAAAUGGUCUCAAAGGCCUUAAAUAUAUGUAUAUAAAAAAAAGCUACUAUAAUAAAGAUCAUUGAAUCGGUCAUGUUUAAGCAGGGAUAGAAAUAUAGAUAAUAACUUAUAAAAAACAAACACAAUUUUUAUAUUUAUCAAAUAAUCAAGUUGUCAUCAGAUUCUAGUAAUUUUUGAAUAAUUAAAUAACUCAUAAAUAUUUAUCUGUUUUUUAUAAUAUUGAAAAAGUGAUUUUCAAAACUUAACUGGUGUUCUAAGCUUUUUAUUACUUUGAAUAAUAUUAAUAAUAUAUACAAAUAUUAUUAAAAAUAAUAAAACAAUUAUUACGCAUGAGAACUAUAAAUAUACAUUUCAAAUUAGCAAUUAUAAAUAGCACAGAAAUAAAUAAAAUCUAUUGGUGAAAAUUAUUACUUUUGUUUAGGAUUGAGGAGUCAAUUGGUUCAGCAAAAUAAAAAUUGGCUGAAUCUAAACUGGAUUCAGGAGUUGGAGUAUUACUUGUAUUGUUCUGAGGUAAACUCAUCAUUUGAUCUUGAUUACUGGAUGGUAAGCUAAAUGAACUCAUUGUAUCCACUGUGCAAACAGGCGCAAAUAAAAUAUAAUAGCACAACCAAAAAAAACAUAUUAUUUUAAAUACAAAAUUAACUAUAUUGUUAUAAUAUUAAGCGCAGCGUUCAUUGGAUAAACUUUGUUUUGUGUUUAUAUAUGCAUACUAAAUGAUUUGUAGAGUAAUUAUUUUAAAUACCAGAAGAAAGCAAAUUAGAUGUUGUAUCACUAUGAGCAGUAGUAUCAGAAUCUGCAUCAUUUUCAGAUUCUUCAAAAAUUGCAGAAUCUUGAACACAUAACAACAACCCUCCUACAAAAAUAUGUACUAAAGUUAGUUCUUUUUUUUUUUAAACAAAAUAAUAAUUAAAAAAAAAAUAUAUUUUACCUAAUAGCAUUUGAGUAUUAUGAGAAUCUGAUUCAAAUUGUAAGGCAUUUAUUAGAAGAUUCAUAAUACGGGGUUUAAGUUCUCCCAUAACAAUGUGUCCUUUUGUACUACAACUAGAUGGAAUCAGUUCUUUGAUAGCCAAAUCCUAAAAUAAAUAGAAAAAUAUUAAUUUAAACAAAUAUUUUAGUAAAUUUAAAUACUUAUUAAAAUUACUUUAAAGUGUAACGGUAAUGAAAGUAUGGAAAGUAAUAAAUGUAUUGCUGAUUUUCUUAAUUCAUUCUUAUGGAUGUUAUUUGAUCUGCUUAUAAAAUUUAGAAAUUUAAAUGUAUUUAAAUUUAAAUUUAAUGAAUUUAUGUAUAGCUUAUUACUUGAGUUUAAGUUCUCUUUCAGGUAAAACGAGUUCUAACGUUUCAAUAAUGUGUGGUAUAAGUACAUUGAUUCCACUUAAAUCCAAACGUAAAAGAUUAGGCGAAUUUAAUAAAAUACUUGCAAUUGUUUCAUCACAUUCAUUCACCUUAUUAAAAUUUGUAUUAAUGUUAUUAUUUUUAAAAUAAUAAAAUAAAAACAAAAUUAUUAAAAUGGUUAAUAUUUAUAAAUAAAUAUAUAAAUAAAUUAAUGAGUAGUUUUACAAUGUGAAUGUGAUAUACCUGAUGAUGAAUUUUUAAUUCGAAACCAGUCAUAUAAUACACUUAUCAUAAUACUUCAGGCGAUGCAUUCACUCAUUUAUUUUUUAUUUAUACAUUUAUUUUUAAAAAUAACAAAGAUUAUAAUUUUUUAUACUUCAUUAGAAUGCAAUCCUUCGUAAAGUGCCAUAUAAAAUCUAGCCAAAUAUACAGGUAAAAUUUCUUCAGACGUUUUCUUGGAACAAAAUAUUCUACACAAUGUUCCUAUUGCUUCGGCACGUCCAGGCAUAUAGCGAUCAUAAUGAAGAGCAUUUGCAGAACUAGAAGUUAUGGAAUCAAUACUAUCGGAGACAUUGUCUGUAAGUGAGUUUGGUUGAGAUGCUGAUGCAGUACUGCCACCUCCCAUACUACUAUAUCCACCACCAGAACCACCACUUCUUAUACUGGUUGUAUCAAACAUCACUGAACUUGGUCGUUUGCACAUUCUGUUGUUAUCUGCUAAGUAUGUAUAAAUAUAUAUAUUUUUUUAUUUAUUAGAAUAUAAAGUGGCAAUUACAAAAACAAAGACUUAGAUAAUUGAUUAACUUAAUACAAACAUAGUGAAACAGUACUAAAUGUAAGAGAUUAUAACAAGUUAAUAGUUUAAAAGGUCAAACCAGGUUCUCCAGCCUAAGCAUUCUAUGUAAUGGAUGAUUAUGGUUAUACGAAGUUGAGUGAGCUAGAAUAUAAAAAAGAAUUUGAUUCUUAGUGUUGUGUGAGGGAACUUUAAAAGGCACACUAGAGAUAAGGUCGGGAGCAUCUAGUAAAUUGUUGAAAAGACCGUAAAGAAACCGAAAUCCUGCCUCGUUCCAGCGUAGACAGAAAAGGUAAAUUCAGAAUACUAGAAAUAAAGGAGUAGUCAUGAUUAGGAUGUCAAAUUAAGUUUAAAAGCAACAUAUAAUUUGUGUUGAACACUCUAGACUCGCACUUGAUCCUUGGCAAAGUAAGGGUGCUAAAUAAUAGUACCAUACUCUAUAAUUGGCUGGGUAAGAGUACAAUACAAAGAACGAAGAGAAUUAGCUGACUUGAAGAGCCCGGUGUAACUCUUAACAAAACCUAAGUGUUUAGACCUUUAGUGUUCUACCAGUGACAACAUCUAAAGGAGAAAAAGCAAGAAUAAUGAAUAUCAAGGUCUUUAAUAACGAAAACACGCUCUAGCUAUAUACUAUUAAGGGUGUAUGAAUAGUGCAUCGGGUUUUUAGACCUAAUAAAGGAAAUACCUUUGCAUUUGUCAACAUUUAAAGAGAUGCCUAGUUGGGAAACCCACAAAUCAAAUUGAAUAAGUUCGUCAUGUAGUAUAAGGCAGUCAGCAGGAGUUUUGAUUUUAUAAAAUAUUUUUAUAUCGUUGGCAUAUAGUAGGAAUUAAGCUUUAUUCAAGCUUUAUUUUGGCAAUGUGAGGUAACAUAGAGAUAGGCCUGUAAUUGGUAACAGAGGAUGGAUCACCCAAUUUAAAGACUAUUCUUCUUUUUUGGUAUUUAUAAUAAGUGUACUCAUGUUAAAUAAUAAUACACUAUUAUUUUGUUUAAAACUUACAUGUAGUAGAAGAUUUAGAUUUAUUAAUAUCAACCCCAAUUAAUGCUGCUUCGAAUAACCAUUCACCAAAAAGGUGAAGAAUACUGUUACACCGUGGUCGAUUUUCAGCAAAUAUUUUAGGUUCUAUAAUUAAAACAAUGAAUACAUUUAAAACCAUAUACAAUUAUUAUUUAUGAAACACUAGCAUUAAACAAAUAAUUAGUUUCAAUAUCAUAAAGACGUGUGCACUUAUUUGAGUUACACUAUUUCAAUAAUAAAAAACACAAUAAUUUACCUGAAAUUGUUGAUGACAUAGAAGUAUUUGAUGAUAAUUUAUGUGUCUGAGUACUAAUACGGCUAGUAGUUAAACCAACUAAAGAUGAUUUUGCAAUACCUGAUAAAAAUAAAAUAAUGUUUUUUCUAGCUACAUUAAUAUGAACAUAAAACCUUUUUACAAUUUUUAUUUUGUUUAAUAUAAAUAUAAUAAACUAAUUUAAUUAAUUUUUUUUAGAGGUAAUAGCCUUUAUAGCCUUUAAAGACUUCUUUCAAACAUAUUUAUUCCAUUUAUAGGAAGCUUCAUCACAUCUUCAUGGUAUCCCAGCUUCCAUCAGUCCUACAUCCCUUACUACACAAUCUUUCCAUCUUAGACGGGUCUAGUGGUUGAUUUCCUACUAGAUUCUCUGUGAUCACUAUUUUUCUUAUCAAUUCCUGCUCCACUACCUGUGUCUUAACAAAUCCAUUUUCCUCAUUUGUAUGCUUUAGUUAUACUAAGUGUUUAAUUAGAUUCUCGAGUUCAUAAUGUUUUUUCCUCUUUACAUUAGCUUGAGCAUCACUGCAUGGCCCAAAAAUCUUUUUAGGGAUUUUCCCUUCAACAACUUUCAAUCUAAUUUCAUCUGCCUUCCUGAACAGCCUUGUUUCUAAACCAUAUAACAUUACUGAGUACAUCAAAGUAAUUCAAAUCUGGAAUUAUAAAUUAUUGGAGAUUGCUUUUGAAUUUUAUACUUGGUUUCUUUAAUGUAGUCAUAUUUGUUUUUAUAUCAAGUAUAUGUAUACGAGAAUUCACAAAGAAUAAUCCUAUAUUUUAUAAUAAAACAAUAAACUAUUUAAAACAACAUAAAUAAAAAGUAUACCUGUUUUAUUUGUUUCUGUAAAUUUUAAUUUUCUAAUUUAAAUUUUAAAACUAUAUAAUAUUCUAAUUUGUUAUACACAUGUAUGUUAUAUGGUUGUUGAACAGUUGUAAACUUCUAAUAUCAACUCAUUACAAAAACUACAUUACACCAUAAAGAUUUUUUUUAAUAUAUACAUACAACUUAAAGAUAUUAGGUUAUUAUAAUUUUGUGACUUAUUAUAAUUAUAUACCCUUAUUGGUAAGUGAAGGUGCAACGCUAAAACUUUUAGCCAAUCGACGUUGCGAAGGCGGUGUAUGUGUUACUGCACUUGCUUCUUUUUUUUCCAAAGAGCUUCCUGAAGUCCAAGGUAAGACAUCAUCCCAAAUAAUAGUAGGAUGAGAAGCAAUGCCUAUUUUUAAAAUGUGCAUUUAUAUAUAUAUUUACAAAUUAAAUAGGUGCUAGUAUUAAUAGAUUUUUCUCAUCUCCCAGAAAAAGAAGAGUUUGAUUAAGAAAUAAAAUAAAGUAUAAUAAAUUCUUGCCUAAAAAUGCAUCUACAAGUGAUGCGAUCCCACGUAUAGCUACAUAAAAGUUGUAAGGUAAGACGUUUAAACAGGGGUGAACAGAUGGAUCUAUAAGUCUAUGAUUCGAGUCGGAGAGUGCUGCUUGAAGAAAUUUUGGAGUUCGACUAAUUGUCAUAGGCCGACUUAAAUCAACGGGAUUUCCAAUAGUUUGUAACAGUCGAAACCAACUUUGAGCAAUGGUAUGAUUAGACAUUCCGAGCGGUAUUAAGUGAGCAUCUUCGUUAGCUAAAUUAUAAAAUUGAUAUAAUUGAUAAAGGCUUUUAAAUAAAAAUGAAACAUAGUAUGUUUUAUGAGUAUACAAACGUAUUUUUAGCUGUGGAAAAUCUGGUCCAUACAUAAAUGUUAAUACACGGGCUGUAAGUGCUAAAUUUAUACGAUUCCAUUGAUGAAUUAAAGCUGUUCGAUGGCGCCAAGUAAUUGCCAUUUCUCGUAAUGUUUUCCAUAAAGAUGGCGAAGGAAAACAACGUACACAAGCUACAAGCCAUACUUCUAUGAGAACGCUAAGAACUCGUUCACAUAAUUCCUCUCCGACAUCCUCUGUUAAAUUCAUUAUAAAUAAUAAGUCUAAGAACUAUUUAUUACAUUGUAUAAUAAAACAAAUAAUGCCUUUAACUGUGGGUGGAGCUAAUAAAGCAUCAUUUAUUGCGAGAAGAAAUAGCAGUAAAGCUUCCCAAGUUUCUUGGUCAAUGAUUUUAGAUGUUCGAGAUAAAUCAUGUAAUGUCCGUAAAACACGAUGACACAAAACAGCUUGGCGGUUUAUUGUAUCAGUACCUUCACAAAAAUAAAUUAAAUAUUUUAAAAUAUUUUAAUAAUAAAAACUGUUAAUCUGAAAGUUUAUAAUUUAAAAAUAAAGACG